UGAGCUUGAUCCUGGCUCAGGAUGAACGCUAGCGGCAGGCUUAACACAUGCAAGUCGAGGGGUAGAGUUCUUCGGAACUUGAGACCGGCGCACGGGUGCGUAACGCGUAUGCAAUCUACCUUUUACAGAGGGAUAGCCCAGAGAAAUUUGGAUUAAUACCUCAUAGCAUUAUGGAGUGGCAUCAUUCUAUAAUUAAAGUCACAACGGUAAAAGAUGAGCAUGCGUCCCAUUAGUUAGUUGGUAAGGUAACGGCUUACCAAGACUACGAUGGGUAGGGGUCCUGAGAGGGAGAUCCCCCACACUGGUACUGAGACACGGACCAGACUCCUACGGGAGGCAGCAGUGAGGAAUAUUGGUCAAUGGGCGCAAGCCUGAACCAGCCAUGCCGCGUGCAGGAUGACGGUCCUAUGGAUUGUAAACUGCUUUUAUACAGGAAGAAACAACUCUACGUGUAGAGUCUGACG
rnacentral:rRNA from 1 species